rnacentral:miRNA from 1 species
GGGGACUCUAUGUGCUGGGCCAUGUCACCCUGGGAGACCUUGGUGAGUUAUCCUCUUCUCCUUCCUCCCA